UACAGAGGUCUCAAGCGUUGUUCGGAUUCAUUGGGCGUAAAGGGUGCGUAGGCGGCGCGGUAAAUCGGGUGUGAAAUCUCGGAGCUUAACUCCGAAACUGCAUUCGAUACUGCCGUGCUUGAGGACUGGAGAGGAGACUGGAAUUUACGGUGUAGCGGUGAAAUGCGUAGAUAUCGUAAGGAAGACCAGUGGCGAAGGCGGGUCUCUGGACAGUUCCUGACGCUGAGGCACGAAGUCCAGGGGAGCAAACGGG
rnacentral:rRNA from 1 species